rnacentral:rRNA from 1 species
UACGAAGGGGGCUAGCGUUGCUCGGAAUUACUGGGCGUAAAGGGCGCGUAGGCGGCUCUCUAAGUCGGGGGUGAAAGCCCAGGGCUCAACCCUGGAAUUGCCUUCGAUACUGGAUAUCUUGAGUACGGGAGAGGUGAGUGGAACUCCGAGUGUAGAGGUGAAAUUCGUAGAUAUUCGGAAGAACACCAGUGGCGAAGGCGACUCACUGGCCCGUUACUGACGCUGAGGCGCGAAAGCGUGGGGAGCAAACAGG